rnacentral:rRNA from 1 species
AUGCACGCUGGCGGCGUGCCUAAUACAUGCCAGUCGCGCGAACAGACGAGGAGCUUGCUCCUCUGACGUUAGCGGCGGACGGGUGAGUAACACGUGGAUAACCUACCUAUAAGACUGGGAUAACUUCGGGAAACCGGAGCUAAUACCGGAUAAUAUAUUUAACCGCAUGGUUCAAUAGUGAAAGACGGUUUUGCUGUCACUUAUAGAUGGAUCCGCGCCGCAUUAGCUAGUUGGUAAGGUAACGGCUUACCAAGGCAACGAUGCGUAGCCGACCUGAGAGGGUGAUCGGCCACACUGGAACUGAGACACGGUCCAGACUCCUACGGGAGGCAGCAGUAGGGAAUCUUCCGCAAUGGGCGAAAGCCUGACGGAGCAACGCCGCGUGAGUGAUGAAGGUCUUCGGAUCGUAAAACUCUGUUAUUAGGGAAGAACAAAUGUGUAAGUAACUAUGCACGUCUUGACGGUACCUAAUCAGAAAGCCACGGCUAACUACGUG